ACCUACUCUUGACAUCCAGAGAACUUUCCAGAGAUGGAUUGGUGCCUUCGGGAACUCUGAGACAGGUGCUGCAUGGCUGUCGUCAGCUCGUGUUGUGAAAUGUUGGGUUAAGUCCCGCAACGAGCGCAACCCUUAUCCUUUGUUGCCAGCGGUUCGGCCGGGAACUCAAAGGAGACUGCCAGUGAUAAACUGGAGGAAGGUGGGGAUGACGUCAAGUCAUCAUGGCCCUUACGAGUAGGGCUACACACGUGCUACAAUGGCGCAUACAAAGAGAAGCGACCUCGCGAGAGCAAGCGGACCUCAUAAAGUGCGUCGUAGUCCGGAUUGGAGUCUGCAACUCGACUCCAUGAAGUCGGAAUCGCUAGUAAUCGUAGAUCAGAAUGCUACGGUGAAUACGUUCCCGGGCCUUGUACACACCGCCCGUCACACCAUGGGAGUGGGUUGCAAAAGAAGUAGGUAGCUUAACCUUCGGGAGGGCGCUUACCACUUUGUGAUUCAUGACUGGGGUGAAGUCGUACCAA
rnacentral:rRNA from 1 species